rnacentral:lncRNA from 1 species
UUUCUUCCAAGGAAGGUAUCAAAAUCAGAGGUUCCUGUUAUUCAUUUUUUUGUCUUUCCAUGCCCCUUGGCAGUCAUCAUUCCACCUGACCAUUUGAUUUCUUUUUUUUUUUUUUUUUUCUGGUCCAGGCGUUUUUUGCACUGUUCUUUCUUUUCUUUUUUCUUUUUCCUCAAUUCUUUUUUUUUUUUUUUGCAGGAUCAACCUCGAUUC